rnacentral:tRNA from 1 species
CUGGGGCGGGUCGCCGGGGUGGGCGCGGCGUUCGUGGCGCUGCCGGCGUACGCGCUCAUGCAGAUCGGGCUGUUCGGGCUGUUCGGCUCGGCC